rnacentral:rRNA from 1 species
UACGAAGGGUGCAAGCGUUAAUCGGAAUUACUGGGCGUAAAGGGUGCGUAGGCGGUUAUUUAAGUCUGCCGUGAAAUCCCCGGGCUCAACCUGGGAAUGGCGGUGGAUACUGGAUAGCUAGAGUGUGUCAGAGGAUGGUGGAAUUCCCGGUGUAGCGGUGAAAUGCGUAGAGAUCGGGGAGGAACAUCAGUGGCGAAGGCGGCCAUCUGGGGACAACACUGACGCUGAAGCACGGAAAGCGUGGGUAGCAAACAGGG